GAACGGGUGCGGAACACGUGAGCAACCUGCCCCAAAGACCGGGAUAACACCGGGAAACUGGUGCUAAUACCGGAUACCCCCACGAGCUCGCAUGGGCUUGUGAGGAAAGGGUUUCCGCUUUGGGAGGGGCUCGCGGCCUAUCAGCUUGUUGGUGAGGUAACGGCUCACCAAGGCGACGACGGGUAGCUGGUCUGAGAGGACGAUCAGCCACACUGGGACUGAGACACGGCCCAGACUCCUACGGGAGGCAGCAGUGGGGAAUCUUGCGCAAUGGGCGAAAGCCUGACGCAGCAACGCCGCGUGGGGGAUGAAGGCCUUCGGGUUGUAAACCCCUUUCAGUGGGAACGAAAUUGACGGUACCCACAGAAGAAGCCCCGGCCAACUACGUGCCAGCAGCCGCGGUGAUACGUAGGGGGCGAGCGUUGUCCGGAUUUAUUGGGCGUAAAGAGCUCGUAGGCGGCUUGGUAAGUCGGGUGUGAAACCUCCAGGCUCAACCUGGAGACGCCACUCGAUACUGCCCUGGCUAGAGUCCGGUAGGGGAUCACGGAAUUCCUGGUGUAGCGGUGAAAUGCGCAGAUAUCAGGAGGAACACCAGUGGCGAAGGCGGUGAUCUGGGCCGGUACUGACGCUGAGGAGCGAAAGCGUGGGGAGCGAACAGGAUUAGAUACCCUGGUAGUCCACGCCGUAAACGUUGGGCACUAGGUGUGGGGCCUUAUCGACGGGUUCCGUGCCGCAGCUAACGCAUUAAGUGCCCCGCCUGGGGAGUACGGCCGCAAGGCUAAA
rnacentral:rRNA from 1 species